UGAUAGCUCACUUGGUAGAGCAUGAGACUUUUAAUCUCAAUGUCAUGGGUUCAAGACCUACGAUGGGCAAAA